rnacentral:rRNA from 1 species
AACAGGAUUAGAUACCCUGGUAGUCCACGCUGUAAACGAUGUCGACUUGGAGGUUGUGCCCUUGAGGCGUGGCUUCCGGAGCUAACGCGUUAAGUCGACCGCCUGGGGAGUACGGCCGCAAGGUUAAAACUCAAAUGAAUUGACGGGGGCCCGCACAAGCGGUGGAGCAUGUGGUUUAAUUCGAUGCAACGCGAAGAACCUUACCUACUCUUGACAUCCAGAGAAUUUGCUAGAGAUAGCUUAGUGCCUUCGGGAACUCUGAGACAGGUGCUGCAUGGCUGUCGUCAGCUCGUGUUGUGAAAUGUUGGGUUAAGUCCCGCAACGAGCGCAACCCUUAUCCUUUGUUGCCAGCACGUAAUGGUGGGAACUCAAAGGAGACUGCCGGUGAUAAACCGGAGGAAGGUGGGGAUGACGUCAAGUCAUCAUGGCCCUUACGAGUAGGGCUACACACGUGCUACAAUGGCAUAUACAAAGAGAAGCGAACUCGCGAGAGCAAGCGGACCUCAUAAAGUAUGUCGUAGUCCGGAUUGGAGUCUGCAACUCGACUCCAUGAAGUCGGAAUCGCUAGUAAUCGUGGAUCAGAAUGCCACGGUGAAUACGUUCCCGGGCCUUGUACACACCGCCCGUCACACCAUGGGAGUGGGUUGCAAAAGAAGUAGGUAGCUUAACCUUCGGGAGGGCGCUUACCACUUUGUGAUUCAUGACUGGGGUGAAGUCGUAACAAGGUAACC